UGCGUAGGCGGUUUGUUAAGUCUGUUGUGAAAUCCCCGGGCUCAACCUGGGAAUGGCAAUGGAUACUGGCAAGCUAGAGCGUGUCAGAGGAUGGUGGAAUUUCCGGUGUAGCGGUGAAAUGCGUAGAGAUCGGAAGGAACAUCAGUGGCGAAGGCGGCCAUCUGGGACAACACUGACGCUGAAGCACGAAAGCGUGGGAGCAAACA
rnacentral:rRNA from 1 species